ACAUUGUACGUGUGAGAUAACCUUUACUAAUUGAGUAAGCCUAUUAUGUCACACUUACACUAUAUCGAUAAUAAUAAAUUAAUUAUAAUUUUUUGUAAAAAAAAUAUAAAAUAAUUAUUUUCUUUAUAAUCAUAAUAUGACAGAUUAAUUCAAAAUGACCUAUCUAAUCAUAUUGUGAUGGAUUAAUUCAAAAUGACCCAUUUGAUUGGUUAAAAACACUACGUUACAAAUAUAACUGGUACAUUUUAAAUAUUUUUUUUUUCUUUGCUGAUUUAACCCUGCCCU
rnacentral:lncRNA from 1 species